rnacentral:rRNA from 1 species
GAUGAACGCUGGCGGCGUGCCUAAUACAUGCAAGUCGAGCGAACGGACGAGAAGCUUGCUUCUCUGAUGUUAGCGGCGGACGGGUGAGUAACACGUGGAUAACCUACCUAUAAGACUGGGAUAACUUCGGGAAACCGUAGCUAAUACCGGAUAAUAUUUUGAACCGCAUGGUUCAAAAGUUAAAGACGGUCUUGCUGUCACUUAUAGCUGGAUCCGCGCUGCAUUAGCUAGUUGGUAAGGUAACGGCUUACCAAGGCAACGAUGCAUAGCCGACCUGAGAGGGUGAUCGGCCACAAUGGAACUGAGACACGGUCCAGACUCCUACGGGAGGCAGCAGUAGGGAAUCUUCCGCAAUGGGCGAAAGCCUGACGGAGCAACGCCGCGUGAGUGAUGAAGGUCUUCGGAUCGUAAAACUCUGUUAUUAGGGAAGAACAGAUGUGCAAGUAAAUGUGCACAUCUUGACGGUACCUAAUCAGAAAGCAACGGCUAACUACGUG